CUGUACGCGGGCGACGUGUUCGUGUUCCCCAGAGGGCUGGUCCACUUCCAGCUCAAUGUGGGCAAGGGCGCGGCGGUGGCCAUCGCGGCGCUCAGCAGCCAGAACCCGGGAGUGCAGCAAGUGGCGCCGGCGCUGUUCGCAGCCAACCCUCCCAUCAACGACGAGGUGCUGGAGAAGGCGUUCCACCUGAACCAGAACCAAGUCCAGCACAUCAAGGCCAGCUUCGUCAAGGCUUGAGCGUCACCACACAGCGCCGUCCAAUUGCUCUCGUACCUUUGAGCGCACGCGCAUCCAGGAGGUAGCGCAUUGCAACGCCUCGGAUUCGUCCCAAACCGACUGCACGCGCAGCUGGCAUGGCAUGGAGGCCGCGCGUCUGAGCACCACAACAGCACGAAGCAUAUGUACGCCCUGUUAGUUGUAGUUGAGGCUGUAGUGAGUGGAGAAGUAGGCUAGGUUUGCGCCAGAGUCGACGGCCGUCGCUGCGAACUGAGCUGUCGGCGUUGUUCUAUAGCCUAGCCUAGUGUAGUGUGCAUUCAUCGUGGGGCGACGUUGUGUCUCGCUUUCACGCCCUCCAUCAGCCAAGAUUCUAUUCAACCAAGUGCUGGCAUCACACCUGGGAUCCCAUUCCGGCCUUCCUUGAGCUGUUGUUUUGUGCAUGAUUGUGGGAGUGGACAAGAAGACUAGUCAAGUGUGAUGCAUAUGAUCGGUACGCUUGUGGUGGGUGCAACGCUUGGGAUUGGAGUAGUGCUUCGGAUUUCGUGAAUCAAGCGAUCCGGGUCCAGGGAAUUGACAAAGCCGGUCACAGGGGAACGACAGAAGUGUCUGGGGAGAAACGAUGCUGCUCCUCCAUGUGGCACAAUCUGGAGGCGGACAAGAAUGUCGGAGGCAACGACUGAAUCAUGGGUUUUUGGGAUGGUUUAGAUCCGUAGAAGCCAUGUCGGUGUACGCAUACGAGUGCGACACAUGCUGGUAUCACCCACAGUUUGUGUGCUUCGAUUUUCAUUUAAUCUAGCCAGAACGACCUUCCAAUCAGGUUGUGUAUGUGUGUACAUACGCACAUACACACAGAUGAGACAUGUAGCGUCUAUGAUUAGGUGUAUGGAUGUUGAAACUUACAGGGGUUGUUAAAGAACCAUGGAAACGGAAUGAAUAGCUGCUUUGUCUUUUUGUUUUAUUUAUUUACUUUAUGUGUUUUUAGUAUUCAUGUUAUCUUUGUGGGCUAUUUUACUUUUGUGGGUAUCUUCUAGAUAUGUGUAUGUGUAUCCAUGGAUGUCUACAUAUUCUCACUUCUUGGUGUACAUACAUCAUCAUUUAAUCAUCACAUCACACACAAAGGCAUUUGUGGUUUUGGGGUAGGUUCAAAAUGGUUUGCAAAAAGGAGUAAAGAAGGGAUUUUGGUAUUGAAGGCUUGUGUUUGAAUUUAUAUGUGUAUGUGUAUGAAUGCAUGUAUUUGUAAAUGUUUUAUUUUUUUUUAUUUUUUAUUAGUUUUAUUUUUAAACUUUUUUGUCAACUUGUUUUCAAAGCAAUAAAAGAAAAAGUAGAAAAUUUAACUUCUUCUAUACUUUUGUAUUUGUUCAAUGCAUUAUAAAAACAUAUUGGCAUUUUCCAUAAAUACAAUCAUGCACUUACACUCAUAUACACACAUAUCCGCAAAAAUAGAAACCAAAACAAUAUGAUAGGUAUAAAAGAUCAAUUAGGUUAGAGUAAUAGAAUGUGCAAUACAAGUUGUAAGGGCCAUUUUCAAUCAAGUCAAGAAUUCUAAUCCAACCACUUUGUUUACUAAUAUUAUUGUUGAUGUUUAUUUCCAAUUCAACUUGUUGCAAUUUUAUUUUUGUAAUCUCCAAUCCUAUCAAUUCUUCCAUUAUAUUGGUUGGCAAGAGUCUCUACCUCUCUACAUGUAAAUAGAGCAACCAAGAAUCUUAGACCAUCAUCUUUCUUCAAAGUACAAGUACAAAUACCAUUGUAAGCUUUUAAAGUCAAAUAUUUGGCAAAGUCUAACUCAAUAGGUUCUUCAAGGAACUGUUUUACUUCUUUGGUACAAUAAAGAAUAUAAAUGGUUGAUAUGUACUCUAAGUCUUAAAUUUUUUUGAUUGAGUUUAGUUUGUAGAUUGGAUUACAUAACUUUGAGUAAUUGCAUUGUGUCCAAGCUUGUGGCAUGUAUUCAAGAAUUUUUUUAACAAAUUUAGCCAAAAAAAACAUCAUGAGCAUAAGUUCUUUGUGGCAAUACAAAAUGACUUUGAAUCACAAUACAAAGCUCAAUCAAAGCAUUGUUUAUUUUUGGAUUGAAUUGAAAUGGCAUGCAUGAAGAUUGAUGGUAUAAAAAUUGACAUUGUAACAUAUUUUGUUGAUUACUUGUUUAUUGAUUGAUUAAAUUAUUUAUUAAAUCUCAUUCAAUUUCAUUUGAUUUUGCUUUAUUUAUAAUGUAGGCUUUUAUUGUUAGACAAACAAUCAAGUUAGACUAGAACAUUAAGAGUAAUGAACUAAUAAUUCCAUCUAAAUGCAAUACUCAUUUGUAGUACUAGAGUACAAACAACAAAAUUCUAUAAACCAAACAAAUCAUUCAAAUUGUGUUUAUAGGCAUUACAUAUGCAUGGCUAAAGUUAAAAAUAACAAUUCUUCUUCGUAUUUUGGCUUUCAAAAACAUAUACAUAAUGAAGAAUAAGUUUGUCUUUGAUUAAAUGUGGUGUUGACCAAAUUCCUAGCCAAUCCAACAAAAACUAUUGUUUGUUUGUUAUUGCAUCAAUUGGUCUUUUUAAUGAAUUGUCAAAAUAAAUCAAACAUGCAUUUAUAAACUCUCUUCCUUCCAAACUCAAAUAAUCAUGAAUAAUUAAAACAAAAUAAUUCCAUAAACUAACAAUUCAUAAAUUUCUAAUGACUUAAUUUGACAAACACAAUGAUUUAUUACAAUGCCAUAUCAUAAAUCAAAUACAAAUUGUGUGUACACAAAAUGCAUGUGUCAUGAUAUUUUGUACUCCAUCUACACACCAAAACCUUCUCAUGUUUGUACAAUCUCAAUCUAUACACAUUUACAUCAAGCCAUGUAAACACAAAAAUACAAAACAAAACAAAACAUCACUAAACAAACAUCAUACUGUUGACUAUCUUGUGAAUGUACAUUUCAUAUGUAUUGUUCAACCACCCCAAACUUUAAAAUGGGUCAAAUCUACAAUGCCUAAUUCAUUUUCAUCAAAGUUUAUUAAACUAAGAAUUGCAUUCUAUUUGCCCUUUCAAAACAAAGCCAUCCAUAUUCUUCCUAGUCCAUGAGACUUUCAUCCACCUCAUUUUAUGCUCAAACAACUAUAAAAGAGGACAAUAAAAACAUCUGCACAUACUUACUUAGCAACAAUACAACACAAGAAAGAAAGACAAAAAGAAAGAGUACAUCUUCACAUGUCAUUCAUCCAUCUUCUAAGCAAAUUCAACCCACAAACAAGCACCAAAUAUUGAUGACUAAAUAGGUCCUUUUCAUGAUUCUUCAAUACCACAAAACCAUAUCCAACAGCGCGUGGGAGAGAAAACAAUAAAAUCAACAGUUAAAAUAAGAUCGAAUACAAAAAAAAAACAAAACAAAAAAAAACAAACAAACAAACAAACAAAUACAUAAUCCCAAGGCACUCAUUCAUGGAAUGUUCUUGUGCCGGAAUCUCUUCUCCACCCCCAACAUCAAUUUCCCUCCCUCCCGUCCUUCCCCCUUCCCUCCAACAUGCGAAAGCGCAACAGCCUCCGCAGCUUCGGGGCUUGUCCCGGCAAGUUGGGUCGGAGGUGCUUUCUCAGGUAUAAAAAACACGCGGGAUCCAGCGAAACGCUCGAUUGACCAGAUAUCGGAGAAAAGCACAGCGGGUCGAGACCUGCAACGACGAAGUGAAGCCCCCUCACGUUCAGCGACGUCGUUGUGCUGUGCGCCGCCUUUCGACAUUACAGCACCGCGUGCAGCGAGACCUGCUGCCUGGCGCACGGCCUUGAAUCCUUCCGGCGUAUAAAAGAGCUGUGCAGCCCAUGGCUUCCCAUCGCUCCAUUCACCAAGCACUCUCCAAGCCCCUACACAUCAGUGCGGCCACGACUCUUCUUGUUGCUCAAAUUCCCCAGGACAGGACAAGACAGCUCAGGACACGACAAGACAACCCAGCGAGCAACACCCGAGAGGGGACGGGAUUCCCAACCAACCCCAGCGGUGAACGAUCGUUGUCACGCAGUGGGCGCACAAUGGAGACGCUUGCCAAGCGCGUCGUGUUCGUGGCGCUCCUCGUCCAGGCCGCUCUGCUACCGAUGCUCUCCAUGGCGGCUGACGCCGAUCCCAUCCAGGACUUCUGCGUCGCAGACGCCUCCAGCACGCUCACCAUCAACGGUCUGGUGUGCAAGCCCGCGGCCGACGUGAAGGUGAACGACUUCCUGUUCAGGGGCCUCGACAAGCCCGGCAACACCGGCGGCCCCACUGCCAACGCCGUCACGCCCGUGGCCGCCGCUCAGCUCCCCGGCCUGAACACUCUGGGCAUCUCCCUGGCUCGCCUGGACUUCGCCAAGGGCGGCAUCAACGUACCCCACAUCCACCCUCGCGCCACCGAGGUCCUGGCGCUGCUGCAGGGGGAGCUGUACGUCGGGUUCGUCAGCACCACCAACAACACGCUGUUCGCCACCACGCUGUACGCGGGCGACGUGUUCGUGUUCCCCAGAGGGCUGGUCCACUUCCAGCUCAAUGUGGGCAAGGGCGCGGCGGUGGCCAUCGCGGCGCUCAGCAGCCAGAACCCGGGAGUGCAGCAAGUGGCGCCGGCGCUGUUCGCAGCCAACCCUCCCAUCAACGACGAGGUGCUGGAGAAGGCGUUCCACCUGAACCAGAACCAAGUCCAGCACAUCAAGGCCAGCUUCGUCAAGGCUUGAGCGUCACCACACAGCGCCGUCCAAUUGCUCUCGUACCUUUGAGCGCACGCGCAUCCAGGAGGUAGCGCAUUGCAACGCCUCGGAUUCGUCCCAAACCGACUGCACGCGCAGCUGGCAUGGCAUGGAGGCCGCGCGUCUGAGCACCACAACAGCACGAAGCAUAUGUACGCCCUGUUAGUUGUAGUU
rnacentral:lncRNA from 1 species